rnacentral:snRNA from 1 species
GUGCUCGCUUUGGCAGCACAUAUACUAAAAUUGGAACUAUACAGAGAAGAUUAGCAUGGCCCCUGUGCAAGGAUGACACGCAAAUUCGUGAAGCAUUCCAUAUUUUU